rnacentral:lncRNA from 1 species
UCCACCUCGGGUUAGCUAUAUUCGACCGUUUUCGGUCAAAUUCAGCUAAACUUGCAUCGGUUCCUGUGAGAAAACACACUUAGGGCCCUCGGUGGGCCACAAAAUAUAGAAAAUCGAAACUCACCAGUGGUGGGGCUCUCCAGUGCGGUGGCUCCUCCGGCUCACGUUGCGGUUGAGUGUUUUGCUCUGGUUAACCUGUAGAGGAGGAAAUAGUGAUCACAAUGGUGAAAAAAUUACAUCGGACGGGAAUCGGGAAGGGCCUCAUCGGAGGCGAAA